GACGAACGCUGGCGGCGUGCUUAACACAUGCAAGUCGAGCGGUAAGGCUCCUUCGGGAGUACACGAGCGGCGAACGGGUGAGUAACACGUGAGCAAUCUGCCCUUCUCAUCGGAAUAACCAUUGGAAACGAUGGCUAAUGCCGAAUACGACUUCCUUUCGCAUGUCAGGAAGUGGAAAGCUCCGGCGGAGAAGGAUGAGCUCGCGGCCUAUCAGCUUGUUGGCGGGGUAACGGCCCACCAAGGCAACGACGGGUAGCCGGCCUGAGAGGGUGACCGGACAGACUGGGACGGGGACAGGGCCCAGACUCCUCCGGGAGGCAGCAGUGGGGAAUAUUGGAAAAGGGGCGAAAGCCUGUCCCAGCAACGCCGCGUGAGGUAUGCCGGCCUUCGGGUUGUAAACCUCUUUCAGCAGGGACGAAGCGAAAGGGAGGGUACCUGCAGAAGAAGGACCGGCCAACUACGUGCCAGCCGCCGCCGUAA
rnacentral:rRNA from 1 species